AAAAUCUACUUCACAAUUUCUCUCUGGUUUUGCGAACAAUAAUUGUCUCGAUGUCUAAUAACCUUAAAGCUUCGCGAGUUGAGAAGAAUCGCCAUUUAGUUUUUUUUAUUCUUGCUUAUGAGCAUUCCGUUCGUUUGUCUUCUACUUACUCUACUAAUCAUGUGCUGCUAGUUGUGCUGCUAUAACCGAAGGAACCGGAAGGUUCACCCUUCUCCUACAGAAGAUGAAGGCGAUGUUUAGUCCAGGUUCUUCCUUAAAUAAAUUCUUAAUUAAAUGCAAUAUUAGAUACCGGAUAUAUUCUGGUUUGUAUAUAGAUUAGAUUAACACUGGUUUAAAGUCUCCUUCAGCUUAACCAUGUGGUUAUUAUAUAUAUAUAUAUAUAUAUAUAUAUAUAUAUAUAUAUAUAUACUUCGUACAUACUUUGAGUAAUUAAUGUGAAACACAGUUAUCCUUUCUCUCUCGUAAAGUUGAUAUGCAAACAUAUAUUUCUAUAUUUAAGUCUAUAUAUACAAGUAAAAUAUUCUGUAAAAAAACUCUAAAAGUGGACAUUACUUAUGUCUAUACCAAGAAGAAUUUAGAUUUGGACUUGACAUAGACAUCACUAAAGCACAAGAAGAAUUUUAUUGGAUCAUGUGCUUCAGUGAUGUCUAUGACAAGUUCAAAUCGAAAUUCUUCUUAGUAAACAACAUUAUUGUUAUUUUUUUAUUAUAUUUCUUACAUUUUUUCAUCGAUAAUUUUUGUAUGUUGGUAUUCUGUAGAACGAAGAGACGAAUAAACCAUGGAUUGAAGUUCUUGGAAAGACGCACAAGAAAUACUAAUAGUUGAUUUUAUUUCUGGUUUGAUAUUUUUAAUUAACUAUUUCUGUAUUUAUGAUUCUCUGGAAGUUGAAAUCUUUGGUUGUUUAGUACUACAUAUAUUAUUUUUAGCUUUAUUGUAAUAGUUUAAUAAUCAUCAAAAUGUAAUAGAU
rnacentral:lncRNA from 1 species